AUGGAAAAAAUGCUGGGAUGUGCAUGGAUAGUCUUGUGCCUUCAGUUUGGGUGGUCGCGUGGAGAAGACCAGGUGGAACAGAAUCCUCAGACACUGACACUCCGGGAGGGAGAUGACAUCAGCCUCAACUGCAGUUACUCUGUCAGCAGUUUUCGAGGCCUGCAGUGGUAUAAACAAGAACCUGGGAAAGGUCUUGAACUCCUCUUCUUGCUGUUUUCCAUUGGGGAUAAACAGCAGAAAAACAGACUUAAAGUGACAUUAUCAAAAAAGGAAAGCUCCCUGCACAUCACGGCCUCUAAACCUGAGGACUUAGCCACUUACUUCUGCGCCGUGGACACAGUGCUCCACAGGCACCUGCAGUCUGUACCAGAACCCUCCAGCUGGGGCUCUGGAAUAAAGGGCACAGGCAGCUCGGGGCCUUUUCUCCUCAGAGAAGAAUGUGUUUGCUUAAUACCAAGAUGCCCUAAUGGAGAAUAA